rnacentral:rRNA from 1 species
AUGCGUGCCCCGCAUUUAAAGGGCCCGGGCCGCGGGGGUGUGGGCCGCCAUUACGUGGAUCUCGAGGGGCCUACGCGCGAAACUGUGGCGGAUAGAUGCCCGCCCCUCGGUAGUGAACGCGUCGCGCCGCCGUUCAGGUUCAGCUGUUGCCGUCGGCCGGGCCGCGGUGGCGAACGUGGGUGGGCGUGCCGCCAGUCGGAGGGAGGGGACGACGGGCGGCGGCGAAAAGGACGUGACGCUGAUGCGCGACGGAAGAGAUCCCAUCGCCGGACGUCUCCGUUCGUUGUACUGCACCGGGUCGAGCUCGACCGAGGGGGGAGGCUUUACGGCGCUGAAAGUGCUGACGGGAAGCUGGACUGA